GAUGAACGCUGGCGGCGUGCCUAAUACAUGCAAGUCGAGCGAACGGACGAGAAGCUUGCUUUUCUGAUGUUAGCGGCGGACGGGUGAGUAACACGUGGAUAACCUACCUAUAAGACUGGGAUAACUUCGGGAAACCGGAGCUAAUACCGGAUAAUAUUUUGAACCGCAUGGUUCAAAAGUGAAAGACGGUCUUGCUGUCACUUAUAGAUGGAUCCUCGCUGCAUUAGCUAGUUGGUAAGGUAACGGCUUACCAAGGCAACGAUGCAUAGCCGACCUGAGAGGGUGAUCGGCCACACUGGAACUGAGACACGGUCCAGACUCCUACGGGAGGCAGCAGUAGGGAAUCUUCCGCAAUGGGCGAAAGCCUGACGGAGCAACGCCGCGUGAGUGAUGAAGGUCUUCGGAUCGUAAAACUCUGUAAUUAGGGAAGAACAUAUGUGUAAGUAACUGUGCACAUCUUGACGGUACCUAAUCAGAAAGCCACGGCUAACUACGUG
rnacentral:rRNA from 1 species